rnacentral:rRNA from 1 species
GGUUAAGCGACUAAGCGUACACGGUGGAUGCCCUGGCAGUCAGAGGCGAUGAAGGGCGUGCUAAUCUGCGAUAAGCGCCGGUAAGGUGAUAUGAACCGUUAUAACCGGCGAUACCCGAAUGGGGAAACCCAGUGUGAUUCGUCACACUAUCAUUAACUGAAUCCAUAGGUUAAUGAGGCGAACCGGGGGAACUGAAACAUCUAAGUACCCCGAGGAAAAGAAAUCAACCGAGAUUCCCCCAGUAGCGGCGAGCGAACGGGGAGGAGCCCAGAGCCUGAAUCAGCAUGUGUGUUAGUGGAAGCGUCUGGAAAGGCGCGCGAUACAGGGUGACAGCCCCGUACACAAAAGCGCAUGUGCUGUGAG